rnacentral:lncRNA from 1 species
GGGGUUCUAGGCUGAGAGAAGGAAAUAUACAAGGGUCCCAAAGAUGACAGGAGCAUGGGGGUGAGGAGUCCCCGAAAGAGAAGACAUGUGAUGUUUUUUUUCCUCUGAGGUUGACACAGUUCUGCCAUGAAUCAAAGAUAAACAUUCACUGCAAACCAUGUUUAGCCUGCGUGCUACCAGUUUGCAAGCCCUUGGGGAGCUGGUCUUGAAGGCAUCUUUCUUCUCUGACAAGAUGGAGGCCAAGUCCCACAGGCAGUGGGCUAGAUCCCCAGGUGCACAGGUUGGAGCAGCCGUUUCCAUAGGACACACAUCUACAGCCACUCCAGGUGGACUCUGUGUUUCUCAGGUUGGAUUGAGCGGCUCAGACAAGAUGGUAAGCUCCUCAGAGAGGCCUUACAUCUCUGAUGCCCCUGUGCCUGCUUAGCCCACAGCUUGUUACCUGACCCACAGGAGGUACACGACCAGUGCUUGUGGAAGAAAUGAAUCUGUUGUGGCAGUUUUAAAAUUUGUCCACAGAUUCUCUGACAUUCCUUGCAUGAAGAGGUGGGGCCCGUGUCUCUUCCCCUGAAACUGGCUACCGUGUGAGCAGUUCAGCUGCCGCGAGACCACCGUGCUGUGAGGGAGUCUAAACCAGCCCGUGCAGGGAGGCCACGUGGAGAAGUUCUGAAACCAAUGAAGAGGGGAGAGAGAGAAAGAGGUCCAGCUGGCCCCCAGCUGCUUCAUCCCACUCCUGUUCCAAAGCCAGCCACCACCCGACCAUCACUGAUUAAGAUACCCUGAGCCAGAACCACCCGGGGCAGCCAUUUCUGAGUUCCUGACCCACAGAAUCCAUAAGAGAUGUUAAAAUGAUUGUUGUCACUUUAAGCCAAUAAUUUUGGUGGUGAUUUAAGAGAUAACAGGAACAGAAUUUUG